AUUGAACGCUGGCGGCAUGCCUUACACAUGCAAGUCGAACGGCAGCAUGAUCUCGCUUGCUAGAUUGAUGGCGCGUGGCGAACGGGUGAGUAAUACAUCGGAACGUGCCCUGUAGUGGGGGAUAACUAGUCGAAAGAUUAGCUAAUACCGCAUACGACCUGAGGGUGAAAGUGGGGGACCGCAAGGCCUCAUGCUCUAUGAGCGGCCGAUGUCUGAUUAGCUAGUUGGUGGGGUAAAGGCCCACCAAGGCGACGAUCAGUAGCUGGUCUGAGAGGACGAUCAGCCACACUGGGACUGAGACACGGCCCAGACUCCUACGGGAGGCAGCAGUGGGGAAUUUUGGACAAUGGGGGCAACCCUGAUCCAGCAAUGCCGCGUGUGUGAAGAAGGCCUUCGGGUUGUAAAGCACUUUUGUCCGGAAAGAAAUCGCACUUACUAAUAUUAGGUGUGGAUGACGGUACCGGAAGAAUAAGGACCGGCUAACUACGUG
rnacentral:rRNA from 1 species